GAUGAACGCUGGCGGCGUGCCUAAUACAUGCAAGUCGAGCGAACAGAUGAGGAGCUUGCUCCUCUGACGUUAGCGGCGGACGGGUGAGUAACACGUGGAUAACCUACCUAUAAGGCUGGGAUAACUUCGGGAAACCGGAGCUAAUACCGGAUAAUAUAUUGAACCGCAUGGUUCAAUAGUGAAAGACGGUUUUGCUGUCACUUAUAGAUGGAUCCGCGCCGCAUUAGCUAGUUGGUAAGGUAACGGCUUACCAAGGCAACGAUGCGUAGCCGACCUGAGAGGGUGAUCGGCCACACUGGAACUGAGACACGGUCCAGACUCCUACGGGAGGCAGCAGUAGGGAAUCUUCCGCAAUGGGCGAAAGCCUGACGGAGCAACGCCGAGUGAGUGAUGAAGGUCUUCGGAUCGUAAAACUCUGUUAUUAGGGAAGAACAAAUGUGUAAGUAACUAUGCACGUCUUGACGGUACCUAAUCAGAAAGCCACGGCUAACUACGUG
rnacentral:rRNA from 1 species